UAUACCUUAAGGAAACUUUGGAUAGAUCGCAACUGCAAGGUGUGGCGCAUGUGCAUGUAGGUAUAGGUCUCAAAGACUCUAGUUCUUCCCACAUGAUUUUUAGAUCGGUAAAAAAUUGACUCACCCCCCUUUCACCUUGUCUGAUUGAGUGUAUAUCUUGCAACAAGUCAGAGAUCUUGAAGUAAUCUCCCUUGGAAAACCUCUCUUUUAGCUCCUCCCACAAAUCUUUAGCUUCUUCAACGUAAAUCACACUUUCAGCAAUGUGUGGUGAUAGUGUCUUCGUUAUCCAUGAUAAAAUCAUCAUGUUGCACCUCUCC
rnacentral:lncRNA from 1 species